UAUCCUUAUUGCCAGCGCGUAGUGGCGGGAACUCUAAGGAGACUGCCGGUGAUAAACCGGAGGAAGGUGGGGACGACGUCAAGUCAUCAUGGACCUUACGGGAUGGGCUACACACGUGCUACAAUGGCAAGUACAGAGGGCAGCAAUACCGCGAGGUGGAGCGAAUCCCACAAAGCUUGUCGUAGUCCGGAUUGGAGUCUGCAACUCGACUCCAUGAAGUCGGAAUCGCUAGUAAUCGUAGAUCAGAAUGCUACGGUGAAUACGUUC
rnacentral:rRNA from 1 species